rnacentral:rRNA from 2 species
UACGUAGGGGGCGAGCGUUGUCCGGAAUGAUUGGGCGUAAAGGGCGCGUAGGCGGCCGAGCAAGUCAGUAGUGGAAGUCCAAUUUUCAAGGUUGGAAGUGCUAUUGAAACUGCAGGGCUUGAGUGCAGGAGAGGUUAUCGGAAUUCCCGGUGUAGCGGUGAAAUGCGUAGAGAUCGGGAGGAACACCAGUGGCGAAGGCGGGUAACUGGACUGCAACUGACGCUGAGGCGCGAAAGUGUGGGGAGCAAACAGG